ensembl:snRNA U6 U6 spliceosomal RNA
GUGCUCGUUCUGGCAGUGCCUACGUGAAAACUAGAAUUAUACAGAAAUUAGCAUGACCCUGUGCGAGGUUGACUCACAUUAGGAUGCAUUCCAUAUUUUU